UUCCAGAGGGCCUCACUGAGGCCAAAAGGUCGGAAUCAGUGGUCAAAGGUUAUGAAGUGAGCAGCUUUGCUCUGCCAGGCAUUCCUGCCAUGAUGUGCCACCACCGGCCCAAAGCUGUGAGCCCAACCAAUCAUGGACUGGAGCCUCUGAAACCAUGAGCCUUUUCUCUUUGUAGGAGUGGAUCGCCCAGGUCACAUGACAGCCCUAUGUGUAACUACCUCAAGCAGUCCCACCAUUUUGCAUUUCCAUCAGCAGAGUGUGAUGGUUCCAGUUCUACCACAUCCUCACCAAAAUUUAUUAGUGGAGUGGCUCAAGGUGAAGGCUCUGAGUUCAAGCCCCAGUAUUGCAAAAUAAAAAAAUAAUAAAAUCACCA